UGGCCGCUGGUCCCGAGAGGGUUUCCCGGCGCUCCUGGGCUGAGGGACUGAAGCCCGGCGGCGGCGCUUGCCGGCCCCCGGGGACCGAGGACUAGGCCGUGGGGCCGCGCCCUGAGUAGCACAAAGAGAAUGAAAGAAGUAGAUAAUCUUGACAGUAUAAAAGAAGAAUGGGUUUGUGAAACAGGACCUCCUGACAAUCAACCCCUCAAUGAUAAUCCACAAAAGGACUGUGAAUAUUUUGUUGACAGCCUUUUUGAGGAAGCAGAGAAGGCUGGUGCCAAAUGCUUGUCCCCCACUGAACAGAAGAAACAGGGAAUUACCUUCAGAAUUACAGGGAGUUUUUGAUAAAGAUGAGGUGGAUGUUAAAGUUGAAGAUAAAAAAAAUGAAGUAUGUAUGUCUACAAAGCCUGUGUUCCAACCCUUCUCAGGACAGGGCCACAGACUAGGAAGUGCUACACCAAGAAUCGUUUCUAAAGCAAAGAGUAUUGAAGUUGACAAUAAAAGCACUUUGUCUGCUGUUUCACUGAACAACUUGGAACCCAUCACCAGGAUCCAGAUCUGGUUAGCCAACGGGGAAAGGACUGUCCAAAGAUUUAACAUUUCUCAUAGGGUGAGCCACAUCAAAGACUUCAUUGAAAAAUACCAAGGAACUCAGAGAAGCCCUCCCUUUGCCCUGGCAACAGCUCUUCCUUUCCUCAGAUUUCUGGAUGAGACGCUCACAUUGGAAGAAGCAGACUUGCAGAAUGCUGUAAUCAUUCAGAGACUCCAAAAAACUGCCGAACCUUUUAGAAAACUCUGAUAGUUUUUAUUUUUGAGAGACUGAGAGAAAUGAUGGUUGGCAUCAGACAUGCUGAAGUGGGAGAUAGAAGUCAGUAUGACCAAAGUUGUGGUUUGAGGGCUUCUUAAUCCCUUAUGAGGGGUUCAAACAUCACAAGCUAAGAGAGUCUAAGAGAGAGACAUGACUGUAACCCAGAGUCAGUACACUUUUCUCAACAGGCUAUUCAGAAAAAAUACCUAUUUUCAAAUACAAGUUAACCCAUAUUUAUUAAAUAGCUGUAUCACUAAUCUUAAUGUGGUCUAAGUUAGCAGAGUAGUCAGUUAGCUAACUCAACAUCAGCACUCAAGUAUUUUGAAACAGCAGAUAUUUAUAUAAAUGUUAGCUAACUCAGUUUUAAAUAGCAAUACAUUAAAAUACUAUACAUGACAUAUUAAAGCAUCAAUGUAAUUAUUAUAUUGCCUGUGCUUCAUCCUCGGAGCUUUCCAGGUUUUUUUUGUUUUGUUUUGUUUUGUUUUUUCUCCCCAGAGCUGGGGACGGAACCCAGGGCCUUGCGCUUGCUAGGAAAGCGCUCUACCACUGAGCUAAAUCCCCAACCCCCAGCUUUCCAGUUUUUAUUCUGUGAUGGCAAGAGAUACUCAAAUAUUCAUUUGGCAACAGUAUCCAAGAUGUAUACUCUUCUAGGAAUAAAAUUGUGUAGCUUAAUGAAAU
rnacentral:lncRNA from 1 species